rnacentral:rRNA from 1 species
AUUGAACGCUGGCGGCAGGCCUAACACAUGCAAGUCGAACGGUAACAGGAAGAAGCUUGCUUCUUUGCUGACGAGUGGCGGACGGGUGAGUAAUGUCUGGGAAACUGCCUGAUGGAGGGGGAUAACUACUGGAAACGGUAGCUAAUACCGCAUAACGUCGCAAGACCAAAGAGGGGGACCUUCGGGCGUCUUGCCAUCGGAUGUGACCAGAUGGGAUUAGCUAGUAGGUGGGGUAACGGCUCACCUAGGCGACGAUCCCUAGCUGGUCUGAGAGGAUGACCAGCCUCACUGGAACUGAGACACGGUCCAGACUCCUACGGGAGGCAGCAGUAGGGAAUAUUGCGCAAUGGGCGCAAGCCUGAUGCAGCCAUGCCGCGUGUAUGAAGAAGGCCUUCGGAUUGUAAAGUACUGUCAGCGGGGAGGAAGGGAUUAGAGUUAAUACCUUUGCUCAUUGACGUUACCCGCAGAAGAAGCACCGGCUAACUCCGUG